AAUUUACCUGACAAAUUGCUGUGUGGUUUAAUGAAAUAACGCAAUGCAUUAGCCCAGUACUGGCAUGUUCUAAAUUCCCAAUAAAUGGUGUCUAUUACUGGUAACCCUUCACUUCUGAGCCACAUCUGUAAGAUGAGGAUAAUUAUACCCCAUGCAUAGAAUUUGGGUGGUGGUGGGAAUUAGAGGACAAAAUACUUAUAGUAUAUCCAGCCUAGUGAGGAGCAACAGCCCAGCAGAUAAGGGGCACCCGACCCUUGUGUCUACUCCAGUUUCCUUUCCCCUGGAUCUGUAUAGGAGAAAUCACCAGAUGUUUUCACCAACUGCCACUAUUUGCUGAAUAUCUUUAAGACUGGUCCUUUGCUUUGUCAAUCCUUGAGGGAGUUGCUCAGAUGGUGUUUGCUACUACACACUUCCUGUCUGCCUGCGUGCUGGGCUGCCAGGAGAGCCACGAAAUAAUAAAAUUAUUCUUCUCCCCAGAUAGCAAUUCCCCUACAUUUCUUCACUUUAUCAAUUACACACGUCUUUUGAGCGGAAUUUUCCCUGACCUGAUCACAAAGGGUAAUGAGGGGUGAGGCCUGCGCUGGCUGUAAUUGCAACUUGCAGGGCCUUGCUCCAAGUAGAUUUUCACGUCACUUUGGCAGUGCAGAAGUUCUCAGAGUCCCACUAGGACUGAUGAGCUGGGGGAUGAGGGAGAGUCCCUUGGCCUUGGCGUUCACACUCCACCCUGGCUCCAAAGUCGGCAACAAGGGCACAAGCUCUGAAGGCAGCGUGGAGGCUGUCAAGUCGAGGGCCUUGUGUUAUGGUUGGGUGGAGAUCAAUUACCUCCAAAAAUUGACCUUGACCUUCACCUCUCCCUUUAUUUUCCAUCUCAUUUUCUGGUUUCUUUCCACAGAAGAAAAAAAAAAAAAAAGAAAAGGUGACCCUUCGUGAGUCACCCAUUCUCUUCAUCUGCAUCUUCUCCCCUUUCCUUCUCUCCUGGGCUCACUC
rnacentral:lncRNA from 1 species